rnacentral:rRNA from 1 species
GACGAACGCUGGCGGCGUGCUUAACACAUGCAAGUCGAACGGAAAGGCCCUGCUUUUGUGGGGUGCUCGAGUGGCGAACGGGUGAGUAACACGUGAGUAACCUGCCCGGGACUUUGGGAUAACUUCAGGAAACUGUGGCUAAUACCGGAUAGUAGCUCCUGCUGCAUGGUGUGGGUUGGAAAGUUUCGGCGGUUGGGGAUGGACUCGCGGCUUAUCAGCUUGUUGGUGGGGGAGUGGCUUACCAAGGCUUUGACGGGUAGCCGGCCUGAGAGGGUGACCGGCCACAUUGGGACUGAGAUACGGGCCAGACUCCUACGGGAGGCAGCAGUGGGGAAUAGUGCACAAUGGGCGGAAGCCGGAUGCAGCAACGCCGCGUGCGGGAUGACGGCCUUCGGGUUGUAAACCGCUUUCGCCUGUGACGAAGCGUGAGUGACGGUAAUGUGUAAAGAAGCACCGGCUAACUACGUG